ACGGAAGGCAGCAGUGGGGAAUCUUCCGCAAUGGGCGCAAGCCUGACGGAGCAACGCCGCGUGAGUGAAGAAGGUCUUCGGAUCGUAAAGCUCUGUUGAGAGGGACGAGAGAUAAUGUCAGGAAAUGGGCAUUAGAGGACGGUACCUUUCGAAGAAGCCACGGCUAACUACGUGCCAGCAGCCGCGGUAAUACGUAGGUGGCGAGCGUUGUCCGGAAUUAUUGGGCGUAAAGGGAGCGCAGGUGGGAUUGCAAGUCAGUCUUAAAAGUGCGGGGCUCAACCCCGUGAUGGGAUUGAAACUGCAGUUCUUGAGUGCAGGAGAGGAAAGCGGAAUUCCUAGUGUAGCGGUGAAAUGCGUAGAUAUUAGGAGGAACACCAGUGGCGAAGGCGACUUUCUGGACAGAAACUGACGUUGAGGCACGAAAGUGUGGGGAGCAAACAGGAUUAGAUACCCUGGUA
rnacentral:rRNA from 1 species